rnacentral:rRNA from 1 species
UUCGUAGUGACCUGCGGAAGGUCAUUA